AGAUUAAGUUAUUAAGGGCGCACGGUGGAUGCCUUGGCACUAGAAGCCGAUGAAGGACGUUACUAACGACGAUAUGCUUUGGGGAGCUGUAAGUAAGCUUUGAUCCAGAGAUUUCCGAAUGGGGAAACCCAGCAUGAGUUAUGUCAUGUUAUCGAUAUGUGAAUACAUAGCAUAUCAGAAGGCACACCCGGAGAACUGAAACAUCUUAGUACCCGGAGGAAGAGAAAGAAAAUUCGAUUCCCUUAGUAGCGGCGAGCGAAACGGGAAGAGCCCAAACCAACAAGCUUGCUUGUUGGGGUUGUAGGACACUCUGUACGGAGUUACAAAGGACGACAUUAGACGAAUCAUCUGGAAAGAUGAAUCAAAGAAGGUAAUAAUCCUGUAGUCGAAAAUGUUGUCUCUCUUGAGUGGAUCCUGAGUACGACGGAGCACGUGAAAUUCCGUCGGAAUCUGGGAGGACCAUCUCCUAAGGCUAAAUACUCUCUAGUGACCGAUAGUGAACCAGUACCGUGAGGGAAAGGUGAAAAGCACCCCGGAAGGGGAGUGAAAUAGAACCUGAAACCGUGUGCUUACAAGUAGUCAGAGCCCGUUAAUGGGUGAUGGCGUGCCUUUUGUAGAAUGAACCGGCGAGUUACGAUUUGAUGCAAGGUUAAGCAGUAAAUGUGGAGCCGUAGCGAAAGCGAGUCUGAAUAGGGCGUUUAGUAUUUGGUCGUAGACCCGAAACCAGGUGAUCUACCCUUGGUCAGGUUGAAGUUCAGGUAACACUGAAUGGAGGACCGAACCGACUUACGUUGAAAAGUGAGCGGAUGAACUGAGGGUAGCGGAGAAAUUCCAAUCGAACCUGGAGAUAGCUGGUUCUCUCCGAAAUAGCUUUAGGGCUAGCCUCAAGUGAUGAUUAUUGGAGGUAGAGCACUGUUUGGACGAGGGGCCCCUCUCGGGUUACCGAAUUCAGACAAACUCCGAAUGCCAAUUAAUUUAACUUGGGAGUCAGAACAUGGGUGAUAAGGUCCGUGUUCGAAAGGGAAACAGCCCAGACCACCAGCUAAGGUCCCAAAAUAUAUGUUAAGUGGAAAAGGAUGUGGCGUUGCCCAGACAACUAGGAUGUUGGCUUAGAAGCAGC
rnacentral:rRNA from 1 species